CCUACGGGAGGCAGCAGUAGGGAAUCUUCCACAAUGGGCGAAAGCCUGAUGGAGCAACGCCGCGUGAGUGAUGAAGGCCUUCGGGUUGUAAAACUCUGUCAUUCGGGACGAACCGGAGUCUGAGGAAAUGCAGACUCUCUGACGGUACCGGAGGAGGAAGCCCCGGCUAACUACGUGCCAGCAGCCGCGGUAAUACGUAGGGGGCAAGCGUUGUCCGGAUUCACUGGGCGUAAAGCGCGCGCAGGCGGUGAUGUAAGUCUGAGGUGAAAACCCGAAGCUCAACUUCGGGACUGCCUUGGAUACUGCGUCACUUGAGGAUAGGAGAGGCAAGGGGAAUUCCACGUGUAGCGGUGAAAUGCGUAGAGAUGUGGAGGAACACCUGUGGCGAAGGCGCCUUGCUGGCCUAUUUCUGACGCUGAGGCGCGAAAGCGUGGGGAGCAAACAGGAUUAGAUACCCUGGUAGUCCACGCUGUAAACGAUGAGUGCUAGGUGCAGGUGGGCUCAUACCCAUCUGUGCCGAAGCUAACGCAUUAAGCACUUCCGCUGGGGAGUUCGGUCGCGAGCUGAACUUAAUUGAAUUGACGG
rnacentral:rRNA from 1 species